UUGUGGGGGGGGGUCCCUAGUGAGCGCGCAGCUCACUAGGAGACCCCCCCCUGCACAGCCCCGGGGCCCCCCGCCCACGAUGGGGGCACGGGGUUUGUGGGGAAAUGCUCUUGUCCGGGUUUUUCCUUGCUCGGUGUUUUUCCUCCCCUUGCUCACGUUCCUGUCAUUCCCUCUGCUUUUUGCUUAACUUCUCUUGCCACUUUAACGCUGUCGCGGGUUCCGCAGGAGCAGCGGCACGUUUGCGAGCCAAACCCCCCACCUUUAAACUUAAUUGAAAUUUUCCGCCUCUCUUCCGCCGACGGAACACCCAAAUAUCGCUCCUUUUGGCUUCCCCCAGCGCCCAAAUUCCCCUGCAAAACGGCAAGACGCCGCGCGAGAGGAGGCACCCUGCGUUUUCGGGAGGGAAACGAUGCGAUCGAUGCGCGGGGUCCAGCACGGGGCUGGGUGUGCGUGGCGGUCACCCCGAGUGCCUCGCAAGGACGGCUUUCCGAGUGAAACGAGGCUGCAGCAUCACGCCUGGGCUGCUCUGCCGUGCCCCUGCUGUAACAGGCAACCUUCCUGUUCUUCAAGGGGGGCAGAUGGAAGUUGCUACGACCACCGAAACCCCGCCACAAAUGGCUUUACUCCGUUGCUCUUUGGAGGAUGAAAGAGAUGUCGUCCCAGUUGCAUUCAGCGUGGUCUGAGUAGCACCAGCAGCAUGCCUUAAAACACUCUUCAACUAAAUUAUACUGGGCUAGAGACCGUGUCAGUCUCUGUGCAGCCCAGAACGGAGGACAGAAAAGUAUAGCCAAGAAGAGGAGGUGAAAGUGGAGGGAAAGUGUGGUUUCCACAAGGUGCUCCUAACUAAAGUAGAUGAUUGCAGUUGUCACGUGUUCCUGUUAGUCCUGAGUGUUCGGGUCAUAAUCAACAAGUAAUUUUCUCUAGGCCAAUUUUGUUUGUUGGCAAGGUAACUGUCGGUUACCUUGUUUUCCCCAUGUUUUUGUAACACUAAUCAGAUUCAGAUUUAUAAUGCACUGUGGGACUCAGAAGCAAAGGAAAGGAGGAUGAAUUGGAAACAUGGUUAGCAAAGGAAGAAUGAUUCAUGUUGAUGGUCAGUUUUCAUAUGCACCUCCUGUACUGCCAGCAGGACAGACCACAGUUGGGAACGACCGAGUGUGAAAACACAGCAGUUCAUUUCAAUCUCAUCAGUCUCAUUGGAACUGACACCUCCCUCCCCCAAAUAACAGGGCAAUUAUAAAUUAGCCCUUGAUACACAGUUUGUGAAAAUGCAUAUUCUCCUUGGUCGCGGGGGUCCUGCAAUCACUCUGUACAGAAGCCCUUACUGGUUCACCUGAAAGCUGUAUUUGCUGUAUAAGAUGCCCUUAUGAAUAAGGGUAGCAAAGUGAAGUCAUCAGUUCAAGAUGUAAACAUAUUUGUCACACAGUCAGUUCAGAGUAGAAAAUGAGUAAACAGGUGAAAAAAAGCUAAGCUCUGAUGGGAUGCAAGUGUCAGACCCUCUCAUGGUACUGACAUGAAGCAAAAUCCAGGAAAAUUGAAGUGGUAAGGGAAAAUUUCCUUUAGAUACAUGGAUAAUUUGCUUGCCAAAGACUUCAGAAAGAAUCAGUGACCUGUAGCCUGUGUAAAACUUUCCUCGUGUGUUCUCCCUUGUGUACGGCACAGGUAACUCCCUUUAAAAUCAUUGGGAUUCAACCUUGUUACGCAGAGAGCAGACACUGAAUAAAUAUGUGAUACUGUGAAACACCAGCAUCUGUAAUAAACAUGAUCUAACUGUAUGGGGGAAAGACUGAGGACGCAGCGUCCAAAGUAUCCCAGCGCGUUCCUAUCGUGAUUUGAACUGAGAGAACAAGGGACUGAUUUCUUGAAUAAACUGAAUUUUGCAAAGCUUGGAUUCCACCUCCGAUAUCCUCAGGAAAGUAUUUUGUCCAAGGGGUUGUGCUUGUAAGAGAAAAGGUCAUCUUACAGAUGAUGGAGGAGGGUGUGCGUGUGUAAGCAGCAAGAAUUCUGUUCACUCUUAUGUUCAGUAAGCUUUUCUGAAAGCACCAUUUCCAGUGGAAAUCUCUGUUGUAAUGAAAUUGCUUUCUCCAAGCCUGCCUGCCAGUUCUUUACAAAUCCUUUCCAUGUUGAUACGCUUAAGCUCGCUGCUUUUGAUGGUCUUUUCCCUGUUGUAUUCAUGCAUAUUGUUUGUGCUUUGGUUCAUGCUGAUCUGUAGCAGAUGGGGAAGUGGAGAGCAGAAGGAGUUUUUCCCACUUCGAGCAUCCCUGAAGGUCAGAAUAUCUGCCUUGGGCUUCUCUGCCUGAACAGAUAACGCAGGUUUCGUGUUGCUUCUGGUGACAACGUGCACGAGAAGGUGGUGUUGGGCUGUGACUCUGUUCUAUUACAAAACAGCAAGUAACGAGAAAAAUGCUAGGUCUUGUUAUUAAAGUGCCCUUGCCAUGUGGCAAAGGAGGGCUGACUGUUCCGGACAAGGCAAGUUUAAGAGCUGAACUUCAACUACUUUUUACAAUCACAUUCCUGAAUCUCUUUAAUUGUCUUAAUAAAAUCCACAGACUUCAUGAA